rnacentral:rRNA from 1 species
GACCUGCGGAGGGAUCAUUACCGAGUUUACAACUCCCAAACCCCUGUGAACAUACCUAUAAUUUGCCUCGGCGGACUCAACGACGGUGCUCCGAGAAAUCGGGCGCCGCUCGCUGCCAGAGGAACCCCAAACUCUAUGUAUUCUUGUGGAUCUUCUGAGUAAAACAAAACAAAUAAAUCAAAACUUUCAACAACGGAUCUCUUGGUUCUGGCAUCGAUGAAGAACGCAGCGAAAUGCGAUAAGUAAUGUGAAUUGCAGAAUUCAGUGAAUCAUCGAAUCUUUGAACGCACAUUGCGCCCGCCAGUAUUCUGGCGGGCAUGCCUGUUCGAGCGUCAUUUCAACCCUCAAGCCCCCCGGGCUUGGUGUUGGGGAUCGGCGAUAGUCGCCGUCCCCCAAAUCUAGUGGCGGUCUCGCUGUAGCCUCCAUUGCGUAGUAGCUAACACCUCGCAACUGGAACGCGGCGCGGCCAAGCCGUUAAACCCCCAACUUCUGAAUGUUGACCUCGGAUCAGGUAGGAAUACCCGCUGAACUUAAGCAUAUCAAUAAGCGGA